AAGAAGAUAAAGCCAUACGAAUUCUUAAAUCUGUUACCAAUUCACCGUCAUAGAUUAUGUUUUUGUACGGCUUGUUAAUUAAAUUAUGCUCCAGUGGAUCACCUUUUCCAAUGCAAGUAUGUUUUUGAUUAUGCAGAUAUUACAGAAGACGACGUAGAGAAGCCCACAAGUCUGAUGAUCAUGACCAUCAGACAGAGGGUAGAAUAUUCCAACCAGAUAACAGGGAGCCACAGGAUAACAUAGCGUUUGAGGACGACAGCAAUGAUCCGGAUGACGAAUCACAGGGUGACGUCAAUCCUUACGUUAACGCUGACGUCGUCCCCUCUACGGUGCCUGUCGAGGAGUUCCCAGACUACUUCGUGAGGAGAAAUGCCGGAAAAGGAUUCAAGAAAGAAUUUGAGACAUUCCUGGUGGGCUUGCAGGCAAAACACACUGCGGCGGACAGACCCAAGAACAAAGCCAAAAGCCGUUAUCGCAGCCUUGUAGCGUGUGA